rnacentral:rRNA from 1 species
UGCAGUCGAGGGGCAGCAUUUUACUAGCAAUAGUGAAGAUGGCGACCGGCGCACGGGUGAGUAACACGUAUCCAACCUGCCUCAUACUCGGGGAUAGCCUUUCGAAAGAAAGAUUAAUAUCCGAUGGUAUAGUAAAACCUCCUGGUUUAACUAUUAAAGAAUUUCGGUAUGAGAUGGGGAUGCGUUCCAUUAGUUUGUUGGCGGGGUAACGGCCCACCAAGACUACGAUGGAUAGGGGUUCUGAGAGGAAGGUCCCCCACAUUGGAACUGAGACACGGUCCAAACUCCUACGGGAGGCAGCAGUGAGGAAUAUUGGUCAAUGGGCGAGAGCCUGAACCAGCCAAGUAGCGUGAGGGAUGAAGGCUCUAUGGGUCGUAAACCUCUUUUAUAUGGGAAUAAAGUUUUCCACGUGUGGAAUUUUGUAUGUACCAUAUGAAUAAGGAUCGGCUAACUCCGUGCCAGCAGCCGCGGUAAUACGGAGGAUCCGAGCGUUAUCCGGAUUUAUUGGGUUUAAAGGGAGCGUAGGUGGAUUGUUAAGUCAGUUGUGAAAGUUUACGGCUCAACCGUGAAAUUGCAGUUGAAACUGGCAGUCUUGAGUACAGUAGAGGUGGGCGGAAUUCGUGGUGUAGCGGUGAAAUGCUUAGAUAUCACGAAGAACUCCGAUUGCGAAGGCAGCUCACUAGACUGCAACUGACACUGAGGCUCG